rnacentral:rRNA from 1 species
AACGAACGCUGGCGGCAGGCUUAACACAUGCAAGUCGAACGCCCCGCCAGGGGAGUGGCAGACGGGUGAGUAACGCGUGGGAACAUACCCUUUUCUACGGAAUAGCUCUGGGAAACUGGAAUUAAUACCGUAUACGCCCUACGGGGGAAAGAUUUAUCGGGGAAGGAUUGGCCCGCGUUGGAUUAGCUAGUUGGUGGGGUAAAGGCCUACCAAGGCGACGAUCCAUAGCUGGUCUGAGAGGAUGAUCAGCCACAUUGGGACUGAGACACGGCCCAAACUCCUACGGGAGGCAGCAGUGGGGAAUAUAGGACAAUGGGCGCAAGCCUGAUCCAGCCAUGCCGCGUGAGUGAUGAAGGCCUUAGGGUUGUAAAGCUCUUUCACCGAUGAAGAUAAUGACGGUAGUCGGAGAAGAAGCCCCGGCUAACUUCGUG